rnacentral:rRNA from 1 species
GAACGCUAGCUACAGGCUUAACACAUGCAAGUCGAGGGGCAGCAUUUUAGUUUGCUUGCAAACUGAAGAUGGCGACCGGCGCACGGGUGAGUAACACGUAUCCAACCUACCGAUAACUCCGGAAUAGCCUUUCGAAAGAAAGAUUAAUACCGGAUAGCAUACGAAUAUCGCAUGAUAUUUUUAUUAAAGAAUUUCGGUUAUCGAUGGGGAUGCGUUCCAUUAGUUUGUUGGCGGGGUAACGGCCCACCAAGACUACGAUGGAUAGGGGUUCUGAGAGGAAGGUCCCCCACAUUGGAACUGAGACACGGUCCAAACUCCUACGGGAGGCAGCAGUGAGGAAUAUUGGUCAAUGGGCGAGAGCCUGAACCAGCCAAGUAGCGUGAAGGAUGAAGGCUCUAUGGGUCGUAAACUUCUUUUAUAUGGGAAUAAAGUUUUCCACGUGUGGAAUUUUGUAUGUACCAUAUGAAUAAGGAUCGGCUAACUCCGUGCCAGCAGCCGCGGUAAUACGGAGGAUCCGAGCGUUAUCCGGAUUUAUUGGGUUUAAAGGGAGCGUAGGUGGAUUGUUAAGUCAGUUGUGAAAGUUUGCGGCUCAACCGUAAAAUUGCAGUUGAAACUGGCAGUCUUGAGUACAGUAGAGGUGGGCGGAAUUCGUGGUGUAGCGGUGAAAUGCUUAGAUAUCACGAAGAACUCCGAUUGCGAAGGCAGCUCACUAGACUGUCACUGACACUGAUGCUCGAAAGUGUGGGUAUCAAACAGGAUUAGAUACCCUGGUAGUCCACACAGUAAACGAUGAAUACUCGCUGUUUGCGAUAUACAGUAAGCGGCCAAGCGAAAGCAUUAAGUAUUCCACCUGGGGAGUACGCCGGCAACGGUGAAACUCAAAGGAAUUGACGGGGGCCCGCACAAGCGGAGGAACAUGUGGUUUAAUUCGAUGAUACGCGAGGAACCUUACCCGGGCUUAAAUUGCAACAGAAUAUAUUGGAAACAGUAUAGCCGUAAGGCUGUUGUGAAGGUGCUGCAUGGUUGUCGUCAGCUCGUGCCGUGAGGUGUCGGCUUAAGUGCCAUAACGAGCGCAACCCUUAUCUUUAGUUACUAACAGGUUAUGCUGAGGACUCUAGAGAGACUGCCGUCGUAAGAUGUGAGGAAGGUGGGGAUGACGUCAAAUCAGCACGGCCCUUACGUCCGGGGCUACACACGUGUUACAAUGGGGGGUACAGAAGGCGGCUACCUGGUGACAGGAUGCUAAUCCCAAAAACCUCUCUCAGUUCGGAUCGAAGUCUGCAACCCGACUUCGUGAAGCUGGAUUCGCUAGUAAUCGCGCAUCAGCCAUGGCGCGGUGAAUACGUUCCCGGGCCUUGUACACACCGCCCGUCAAGCCAUGAAAGCCGGGGGUACCUGAAGUACGUAACCGCAAGGAGCGUCCUAGGGUAAAACUGGUAAUUGGGGCUAA